rnacentral:rRNA from 1 species
GACGAACGCUGGCGGCGUGCUUAAAACAUGCAAGUCGAACGGACUUCUCAUGAAGCUUGCGAUUGAGAAGUUAGUGGCGGACGGGUGAGUAACGCGUGGGCAACCUGCCCCUGAGCCCGGGAUAACAGUUCGAAAGGACUGCUAAGACCGGAUAUACUUGCGGGGAAGCAUUUCACUGCAAGGAAAGGGAACGCUCAGGGAUGGGCCCGCGUCCCAUUAGCUAGUUGGUGAGGUAACGGCCCACCAAGGCGACGAUGGGUAGCCGGCCUGAGAGGGUGAACGGCCACACUGGGACUGAGACACGGCCCAGACUCCUACGGGAGGCAGCAGUUGGGAAUCUUCGGCAAUGGGCGCAAGCCUGACCGAGCAACGCCGCGUGAGUGAUGAAGGUUUUCGGAUUGUAAAGCUCUGUCUUCCGGGACGAUAAUGACGGUACCGGAGGAGGAAGCCACGGCUAACUACGUGCCAGCAGCCGCGGUAAGCAUACUCGUA